AGAGUUUGAUCCUGGCUCAGAACGAACGUUGGCGGCGUGGAUUAGGCAUGCAAGUCGAGCGGGAUCAAUUUGUUUCAAUCNUUCGGGAAAGAAACUUAUUGUGAGAGCGGCGAACGGGUGAGUAAUAUAUGGGUAAUUUACCUCUUUGUUUGGGAUAGCCAUCGGAAACGAUGAUUAAUACCGGAUGUGUUCAGAAACUGCAUAGUUUCUUAUAUAAAGGCGGGGAUCUUCGGACCUGUCGCAAAGAGAUAAGCCCAUAUCCUAUCAGCUUGUUGGUGAGGUAAUGGCUCACCAAGGCUUACGGGUAGCUGGUCUGAGAGGAUGGUCAGCCACACUGGGACUGAGACACUGCCCAGACUCCUACGGGAGGCUGCAGUCGAGAAUCAUUGUCAAUGCACGAAAGUGUGAACAUGCAACGCCGCGUGGAGGAUGACGGCCUUAGGGUUGUAAACUCCUGUCAGCAGGAAGGAAUAAUUAAAUAAUUAAUACCUAUUUAAUUUGACAGUACCUGCAGAGGAAGUCACGGCUAACUCUGUGCCAGCAGCCGCGGUAAUACAGAGGUGGCGAACGUUGUUCGGAUUUACUGGGCGUAAAGGGUCCGUAGGCGGUCUAGUGUGUCGGAUGUGAAAGCUCACAGCUCAACUGUGGAAUUGCAUUCGAAACUGCUAGACUAGAGUACUGGAGGGGUGAAGGGAACACUUGGUGUAGCGGUGAAAUGCGUAGAUAUCAAGUGGAACACCGGAGGCGAAGGCGCUUCACUGGACAGAUACUGACGCUCAUGGACGAAAGUUAGGGUAGCGAAAGGGAUUAGAUACCCCUGUAGUCCUAACCGUAAACGGUGU
rnacentral:rRNA from 1 species